ACAAAGACAUCGAAAAGAAAAGUAGAUAGAGUAUUGAUUUAUAGAGAGUUCUUGGAUGGUGAAAAAGAACAGUCAAUCUAAAUCGAAACACAUCUUGGAGUCGAGCUUUUGAAAGUAGUAGGAAGCUCCGGGAAGCCCGUUAUAGCUGUAGUCAUUGAUAGAUGACUCGUUGAGGUUUUGAUUGUAAGAUCAAAACAAAAAAAGGUGGAACCACGUCAUUACGUCCUUUAG
rnacentral:ncRNA from 1 species